rnacentral:lncRNA from 1 species
GGAACGGGGAGAUAACAAGUUCAAGAAGCCAGUGGGUGACGGCAAAAGAUACUGAGAAGUAGGUGAAGGCAAAGGAGGAGGCCCAUUUAUUCCCGGAGAAGGAAGAGGUGGAGGAGGACCAUUCAUUCUAGGAGAUGGGAGAAGAGGUGGCCCAUUCAUUCUAGGAGAUAGAAGACGUGGAGGAGGACCAUUCAUCCGAGCAAAUGGGAGAGGAGGCGGGCCAUUCAUUCUAGGAGAUGGAAAAGGUGGCAUUGAAGGAUUAGGAAGCAAACCAGAUGAUGCUGGAUGUGCUUGAAAAUGACCAGGACCUUGAAAUUGUGUUAGUUUAGGCCCUGAAUCUAUUAUUGAAUUUUGA